UAGCGACCGAAACAGCCGUGUCCCGUGA
rnacentral:sRNA from 1 species